GAUGAAGAACGUAGCGAAAUGCGAUAAGUAGUGUGAAUUGCAGAAUUCAGUGAAUCAUCGAAUCUUUGAACGCACAUUGCGCCCCUUGGUAUUCCAUGGGGCAUGCCUGUUCGAGCGUCAUUUGUACCUUCAAGCUUUGCUUGGUGUUGGGUGUUUGUCCAUUCUCUUGCAGAGGGACUCGCCUUAAAGUAAUUGGCAGCCAGUGUUUUGGUUUUGAAGCGCAGCACAAGUCGCGAUUCAAAACUAUACGCCCGCUUCCACAAGCCUUUUUCACUUUUGACCUCGGAUCAGGUAGGGAUACCCGCUGAACUUAAGCAUAUCAAUAAGCGGAGGA
rnacentral:misc_RNA from 1 species